AAUCGGUGUUGUGGGCAUUGGCAAAAUAAACCUUUGUAUCAUUCCCAAUCCUUUGAAUAUCAUUCUGAGUCCAUUUGUUGAAAAGUAGUGAUCUUGUCCCUUAGUAU
rnacentral:snoRNA from 1 species